rnacentral:pre_miRNA from 1 species
UGUUAAAAGUUUCAUCUAUUUGUACUAUUAAAUACUAACGUGGCUGGCUGAAUAACUAGGUAGUGCCACGUAGCAUGUCACGUAAACCUCAUGCUAAUGUAAAGGGAUCGGUUUAUAAUAGUAUAAAUGGAUGGAAUUUUUAAAA